AACGAACGCUGGCGGCAGGCCUAACACAUGCAAGUCGAGCGAGGACUUCGGUCCUAGCGGCGGACGGGUGAGUAACGCGUGGGAACGUGCCCUUUGCUACGGAAUAGCCCCGGGAAACUGGGAGUAAUACCGUAUGUGCCCGAGAGGGGAAAGAUUUAUCGGCAAAGGAUCGGCCCGCGUUGGAUUAGGUAGUUGGUGGGGUAAUGGCCUACCAAGCUGACGAUCCAUAGCUGGUUUGAGAGGAUGAUCAGCCACACUGGGACUGAGACACGGCCCAGACUCCUACGGGAGGCAGCAGUGGGGAAUCUUAGACAAUGGGGAAACCCUGAUCUAGCCAUGCCGCGUGAGCGAUGAAGGCCUUAGGGUUGUAAAGCUCUUUCAGUGGGGAAGAUAAUGACGGUACCCACAGAAGAAGCCCCGGCUAACUCCGUGCCAGCAGCCGCCGUAACAC
rnacentral:rRNA from 1 species